CGGCCCGCGUUAGAUUAGCUUGUUGGUAGGGUAAUGGCCUACCAAGGCGACGAUCUAUAGCUGGUCUGAGAGGAUGAUCAGCCACACUGGGACUGAGACACGGCCCAGACUCCUACGGGAGGCAGCAGUGGGGAAUCUUGCACAAUGGGCGAAAGCCUGAUGCAGCCAUGCCGCGUGAAUGAUGAAGGCCUUAGGGUUGUAAAAUUCUUUCGCUAGGGAUGAUAAUGACAGUACCUAGUAAAGAAGCCCCGGCUAACUUCGUGCCAGCAGCCGCGGUAAUACGAAGGGGGCUAGCGUUGUUCGGAAUUACUGGGCGUAAAGCGCACGUAGGCGGACUUUUAAGUCAGAUGUGAAAUCCCAGGGCUCAACUCUGGAACUGCAUUUGAAACUGGAAGUCUAGAGACCAGGAGAGGUUAGCGGAAUACCGAGUGUAGAGGUGAAAUUCGUAGAUAUUCGGUGGAACACCAGUGGCGAAGGCGG
rnacentral:rRNA from 1 species